rnacentral:misc_RNA from 1 species
GUGAAUCAUCAAAUCUUUGAACGCAAAUUGCGCUUUCUGGUAUUCUGGAAAGUAUGCCUGUUUGAGGGUCAGUUAAAUACUCAUCGGUGUUGUUGCUGGUUUUCGUGGUGACGCGUGGGAAUUGAGUUGUCUUACCUUCGGUUAAGUGACUUAAAAUUUUGCUUGAUUUUCGAUCGUAUUUAAAUUUCUUACUUACGUUUGAGAUAUGGACUUGUUUAUUAGGUUCGGUAAUCCUCUUGUUUAGCUUCUAUA